UACAGAGGGUGCAAGCGUUGUCCGGAAUUACUGGGCGUAAAGAGCUCGUAGGUGGUUUGUCGCGUUGUUCGUGAAAUCUCACGGCUUAACUGUGAGCGUGCGGGCGAUACGGGCAGACUAGAGUACUGCAGGGGAGACUGGAAUUCCUGGUGUAGCGGUGGAAUGCGCAGAUAUCAGGAAGAACACCCGUGGCGAAGGCGGCUCUCUGGGACGGUACUGACGCUGAGACGCGAAAGCGUGGGGAGCGAACAGG
rnacentral:rRNA from 1 species